GUACCUGAACACCUCACGGUACACAUCUACUGGCUUUAGAAGCACCAGGAUGUGGUGCUCAAAUUCGGACUGUGUUUAGUGAGCUCCACCAGCCUGAUUCAUCAGAUCUUCAGCUCAGUGGGCUGGCCUGGGACCGGGCUGUGGGUGUGAUGAUUUCCUGAAGCAUCCUCAGGAAAGCCACAGAUUUAAUUGAGAAACCAGAGAUUUUGGAAUGAUGGUAAGACACAUGUGCAGCACACAAGUAUCCAUACUGUUAAAACACUUCACCUGUACAGCAAACUUCUACAGACAGGCAGGUAAGGUUCGCCAGGAAACAGGGUAAUUGUUUCCUGAAGCGGGUCUCAGUCAUAUGAUGACCAGCCACUGGAGCUUAUGGUCAUCUGACUAAGGCCUUCCACUGGCUUACCCGUCCACCCCCAUAAAAAGUCUAAUAUCAGGCGGAUAUAACAAUAGAGGAGGAAGAAGUGUAGAGGUUAAUCUUGAGGUGAUCAAUCCAUCAAUUCUUUAUUGAAUUCAUGUAAAAACAUGUAGUGGUCUUAACUCUCUCAGAAUCAUUAGAGACACAUUUCCAUUAUCUGGUGAACCUCGGCUGAUGCAGCCAACUGAAGCCAAAUAAAUAAUCUUAAAUACUAUAAUUAACUUUUUAUGA